rnacentral:lncRNA from 1 species
CAAAUAAAUGAUCGUAUAAAAACCAUCAGAUAUAGUAAGUUUCAUCUAGAAAUGUUUUGAUAUGUAACGAAAUCACUGCUGUUGGGAAUGGCGAAAAAUCUGAAAUUCAGACAUAUUUGUUUCACUGCACAUUAAUUUGUAUGUUUUAAAAAAAAAGGUUGUCUUAAAAAGCCUUAUAACACGAACCCCUUAUACAUGUGUAAGUGCAUUUGCCAUUGGUAUCUUUUCCAUUCUAGUUAUUUAUUUCUCCAAC